AAAUUGAAGAGUUUGAUCAUGGCUCAGAUUGAACGCUGGCGGCAGGCCUAACACAUGCAAGUCGAACGGUAACAGAAAGCAGCUUGCUGCUUUGCUGACGAGUGGCGGACGGGUGAGUAAUGUCUGGGAAACUGCCUGAUGGAGGGGGAUAACUACUGGAAACGGUAGCUAAUACCGCAUAACGUCGCAAGACCAAAGAGGGGGACCUUCGGGCCUCUU
rnacentral:rRNA from 1 species